rnacentral:sRNA from 12 species
AGAAGUAUGCAAUAAUAACUUGCGAAAUGCUUUAGUGUUCCCUCGGAGUAUCUGGGGCAUGGCUAGGCAACUAGUCAUAAAACUAAAGAAUGUCAUUUUGCGAGACGCUGCUUCU